rnacentral:rRNA from 1 species
AUGGGUGACAGCCCCGUACGGGACGGACGAUACACAGGACUCGAGUAGGGCGGGACACGUGAAAUCCUGUCUGAACAUGGGGGGACCACCCUCCAAGCCUAAGUACUCCUCAGCGACCGAUAGCGAACCAGUACCGUGAGGGAAAGGUGAAAAGCACCCCGACGAGGGGAGUGAAACAGCACCUGAAACCGGAUGCUUACAAACAGUGGGAGCCCAAGGUUCGUCCUGGGUGACCGCGUACCUUUUGUAUAAUGGGUCAGCGACUUAAAGUUACGAGCGAGCUUAAGCCGAUAGGUGGAGGCGCAGCGAAAGCGAGUCUGAACAGGGCGUUCAGUUCGUGGCUUUAGACCCGAAACCGAGUGAUCUAGCCAUGUGCAGGAUGAAGGUGGGGUAACACCCACUGGAGGUCCGAACCAGUGCCCGUUGAAAAGGUCUUGGAUGACGUGUGGCUAGGGGUGAAAGGCCAAUCAAACUCGGAAAUAGCUGGUUCUCCGCGAAAGCUAUUUAGGUAGCGCCUCGAGUGAAUACCUCACGGGGUAGAGCACUGGAUGGGCUAGGGCCGCCCACAGCGGUACCAAACCCAACCAAACUCCGAAUACGUGAGAGUACUGCUCGGGAGACACACGGCGGGUGCUAACGUCCGUCGUGGAGAGGGAAACAACCCUGACCGACAGCUAAGGCCCCCAAUUCGUGGCUAAGUGGGAAAGGAUGUGGGACUCCCAAAACAACCAGGAGGUUGGCUUAGAAGCAGCCAUCCUUUAAAGAAAGCGUAACAGCUCACUGGUCUAAAUAAGGGGUCCUGCGCCGAAAAUGUAACGGGGCUCAAGCCACGAGCCGAAGCUUCGGGUGCAUCUUUGAUGCGCGGUAGCGGAGCGUUCCCUAGGCCUGCGAAGCGGUACCUGUGAGGGGCCGUGGAGGUAUGGGAAGUGCGAAUGCUGACAUGAGUAACGACAAAGAGUGUGAAAGACACUCUCGCCGAAAGUCCAAGGGUUCCUGCGUAAAGUUAAUCUGCGCAGGGUUAGCCGGCCCCUAAGGCGAGGCCGAAAGGCGUAGUCGAUGGGAACGGGGCGAACAUUCCCCGGCCAGCGGAUGGUGACGGAUGCCGUGUAUCGUUUGACCUUAUCGGAUUGGUCAGGCGGUGAAGGGGUCCCAGGAAAUAGCCUCCGCGUAAGACCGUACCCGAAACCGACACAGGUGGACUGGUAGAGUAUACCAAGGCGCUUGAGAGAACGAUGCUGAAGGAACUCGGCAAUUUGCCUCCGUAACUUCGGGAUAAGGAGGCCUCUGUCUU